rnacentral:rRNA from 1 species
UACGUAGGGGGCGAGCGUUAAUCGGAAUUACUGGGCGUAAAGCGUGCGCAGGCGGUUUUGUAAGCCAGAUGUGAAAUCCCCGGGCUCAACCUGGGAAUGGCAUUUGGGACUGCAAGGCUGGAGUGCGGCAGAGGAGACUGGAAUUCCUGGUGUAGCAGUGAAAUGCGUAGAUAUCAGGAGGAAUACCGAUGGCGAAGGCAGGUCUCUGGGCUGACACUGACGCUCAUGCACGAAAGCGUGGGGAGCAAACAGG